rnacentral:rRNA from 1 species
AAAUUGAAGAGUUUGAUCAUGGCUCAGAUUGAACGCUGGCGGCAGGCCUAACACAUGCAAGUCGAACGGUAACAGGAAACAGCUUGCUGUUUCGCUGACGAGUGGCGGACGGGUGAGUAAUGUCUGGGAAACUGCCUGAUGGAGGGGGAUAACUACUGGAAACGGUAGCUAAUACCGCAUAACGUCGCAAGACCAAAGAGGGGGACCUUCGGGCCUCUUGCCAUCGGAUGUGCCCAGAUGGGAUUAGCUAGUAGGUGGGGUAACGGCUCACCUAGGCGACGAUCCCUAGCUGGUCUGAGAGGAUGACCAGCCACACUGGAACUGAGACACGGUCCAGACUCCUACGGGAGGCAGCAGUGGGGAAUAUUGCACAAUGGGCGCAAGCCUGAUGCAGCCAUGCCGCGUGUAUGAAGAAGGCCUUCGGGUUGUAAAGUACUUUCAGCGGGGAGGAAGGGAGUAAAGUUAAUACCUUUACUCAUUGACGUUACCCGCAGAAGAAGCACCGGCUAACUCCGUGCCAGCAGCCGCGGUAAUACGGAGGGUGCAAGCGUUAAUCGGAAUUACUGGGCGUAAAGCGCACGCAGGCGGUUUGUUAAGUCAGAUGUGAAAUCCCCGGGCUCAACCUGGGAACUGCAUCUGAUACUGGCAAGCUUGAGUCUCGUAGAGGGGGGUAGAAUUCCAGGUGUAGCGGUGAAAUGCGUAGAGAUCUGGAGGAAUACCGGUGGCGAAGGCGGCCCCCUGGACGAAGACUGACGCUCAGGUGCGAAAGCGUGGGGAGCAAACAGGAUUAGAUACCCUGGUAGUCCACGCCGUAAACGAUGUCGACUUGGAGGUUGUGCCCUUGAGGCGUGGCUUCCGGAGCUAACGCGUUAAGUCGACCGCCUGGGGAGUACGGCCGCAAGGUUAAAACUCAAAUGAAUUGACGGGGGCCCGCACAAGCGGUGGAGCAUGUGGUUUAAUUCGAUGCAACGCGAAGAACCUUACCUGGUCUUGACAUCCACAGAACUUUCCAGAGAUGGAUUGGUGCCUUCGGGAACUGUGAGACAGGUGCUGCAUGGCUGUCGUCAGCUCGUGUUGUGAAAUGUUGGGUUAAGUCCCGCAACGAGCGCAACCCUUAUCCUUUGUUGCCAGCGGUCCGGCCGGGAACUCAAAGGAGACUGCCAGUGAUAAACUGGAGGAAGGUGGGGAUGACGUC